rnacentral:rRNA from 1 species
GACGAACGCUGGCGGCGUGCUUAACACAUGCAAGUCGAACGGAAAGGCCCUGCUUUUGUGGGGUGCUCGAGUGGCGAACGGGUGAGUAACACGUGAGUAACCUGCCCUUGACUUUGGGAUAACUUCAGGAAACUGGGGCUAAUACCGGAUAGGAGCUCCUGCUGCAUGGUGGGGGUUGGAAAGUUUCGGCGGUUGGGGAUGGACUCGCGGCUUAUCAGCUUGUUGGUGGGGUAGUGGCUUACCAAGGCUUUGACGGGUAGCAGGCCUGAGAGGGUGACCGGCCACAUUGCGACUGAGAUACGGCACAGACUCCUACGGUAGGCAACAGUGGAGAAUAUUGCACAAUGCGCGGAAGCCUGAUGCAGCAACGCCGCGUGCGGUAUGACGUCCUUCGGUUUGUAAACCGCUUUCGCCUUUGACGAAGCGUUAAUGACGGUAAUGGGUAAAUAAGCACCGGCUAACUACGUG